UGCAGUCGAACGAUACUUACCGGGCUUGCUUCCGGUAGGAAAGUGGCGCACGGGUGCGUAACGCGUAUGCAACCUACCUUAAUCAGGGGGAUAGCCCGAAGAAAUUCGGAUUAACACCGCAUAAAAUCACAGUACAGCAUUGUACAAUGAUCAAAUAUUUAUAGGAUUAAGAUGGGCAUGCGUGUCAUUAGUUAGUUGGCGAGGUAACGGCUCACCAAGACCACGAUGACUAGGGGAUCUGAGAGGAUGACCCCCCACACAGGUACUGAGACACGGACCAGACUCCUACGGGAGGCAGCAGUAAGGAAUAUUGGUCAAUGGAGGCAACUCUGAACCAGCCAUGCCGCGUGCAGGAAGACAGCCCUCUGGGUCGUAAACUGCUUUUAUUCGGGAAUAAACCUACUUACGUGUAAGUAGCUGAAUGUACCGAAGGAAUAAGGAUCGGCUAACUCCGUGCCAGCAGCCGCGGUAAUACGGAGGAUCCAAGCGUUAUCCGGAUUUAUUGGGUUUAAAGGGUGCGUAGGCGGCUUAUUAAGUCAGGGGUGAAAGACGGUGGCUCAACCAUCGCAGUGCCCUUGAUACUGAUGAGCUUGAAUACACUAGAGGUAGGCGGAAUGUGACAAGUAGCGGUGAAAUGCAUAGAUAUGUCACAGAACACCGAUUGCGAAGGCAGCUUACUAUGGUGUUAUUGACGCUGAGGCACGAAAGCGUGGGGAUCAAACAGGAUUAGAUACCCUGGUAGUCCACGCCCUAAACGAUGAAUACUCGCUGUUAGCGAUACACAGUUAGCGGCUAAGCGAAAGCGUUAAGUAUUCCACCUGGGGAGUACGCCCGCAAGGGUGAAACUCAAAGGAAUUGACGGGGGCCCGCACAAGCGGAGGAGCAUGUGGUUUAAUUCGAUGAUACGCGAGGAACCUUACCCGGGCUUGAAAGUUAGUGAAUGAUCUAGAGAUAGAUCAGUGAGCAAUCACACGAAACUAGGUGCUGCAUGGCUGUCGUCAGCUCGUGCCGUGAGGUGUUGGGUUAAGUCCCGCAACGAGCGCAACCCCUAUGUUUAGUUGCCAGCACGUUAAGGUGGGGACUCUAAACAGACUGCCUGUGCAAACAGAGAGGAAGGAGGGGACGACGUCAAGUCAUCAUGGCCCUUACGUCCGGGGCUACACACGUGCUACAAUGGAUGGUACAGAGGGCAGCAAGCUGGCAACAGCAAGCAAAUCUCAAAAAGCCAUUCACAGUUCGGAUAGAGGUCUGCAACUCGACCUCUUGAAGUUGGAUUCGCUAGUAAUCGCGUAUCAGCAAUGACGCGGUGAAUACGUUCCCGGGCCUUGUACACACCGCCCGUCAAGCCAUGGAAGUUGGGGGUACCUAAAGUAUGUAACCGCAAGGAGC
rnacentral:rRNA from 1 species